rnacentral:rRNA from 1 species
UACGGAGGGUGCAAGCGUUAUCCGGAUUCACUGGGUUUAAAGGGUGCGUAGGCGGGUAUAUAAGUCAGUGGUGAAAGCUCCGAGCUUAACUUGGAAACUGCCAUUGAUACUGUAUAUCUUGAAUAUCGUAGAGGUCAGCGGAAUGUUGCAUGUAGCGGUGAAAUGCUUAGAUAUGUUACAGAACACCAAUUGCGAAGGCAGCUAACUAUGCGACAAUUGACGCUGAGGCACGAAAGCGUGGGGAGCAAACAGG